UAGGGAAUCUUCCACAAUGGACGAAGUCAUGAUGGAGCAACGCCGCGUGAGUGAAGAAGGUUUUCGGAUCGUAAAGCUCUGUUGUUGGUGAAGAAGGAUAGAGGCAGUAACUGGUCUUUAUUUGACGGUAAUCAACCAGAAAGUCACGGCUAACUACGUGCCAGCAGCCGCGGUAAUACGUAGGUGGCAAGCGUUGUCCGGAUUUAUUGGGCGUAAAGCGAGCGCAGGCGGAAUGAUAAGUCUGAUGUGAAAGCCCACGGCUCAACCGUGGAACUGCAUCGGAAACUGUCAUUCUUGAGUGCAGAAGAGGAGAGUGGAACUCCAUGUGUAGCGGUGGAAUGCGUAGAUAUAUGGAAGAACACCAGUGGCGAAGGCGGCUCUCUGGUCUGCAACUGACGCUGAGGCUCGAAAGCAUGGGUAGCGAACAGGAUUAGAUACCCUGGUAGUCCAUGCCGUAAAUGAUGAGCGCUAGGUG
rnacentral:rRNA from 1 species